rnacentral:rRNA from 1 species
ACGAACGCUGGCGGCGUGCUUAACACAUGCAAGUCGAACGGAAAGGCCCUGCUUUUGUGGGGUGCUCGAGUGGCGAACGGGUGAGUAACACGUGAGUAACCUGCCCUUGACUUUGGGAUAACUUCAAGAAACUGGGGCUAAUACCGGAUAGGAGCUCCUGCUGCAUGGUGGGGGUUGGAAAGUUUCGGCGGUUGGGGAUGGACUCGCGGCUUAUCAGCUUGUUGGUGGGGUAGUGGCUUACCAAGGCUUUGACGGGUAGCCGGCCUGAGAGGGUGACCGGCCACAUUGGGACUGAGAUACGGCCCAGACUCCUACGGGAGGCAGCAGUGGGGAAUAUUGCACAAUGGGCGGAAGCCUGAUGCAGCAACGCCGCGUGCGGGAUGACGGCCUUCGGGUUGUAAACCACUUUCGCCUGUGACGAAGCGUGAGUGACGGUAAUGGGUAAAGAAGCACCGGCUAACUACGUG